GUCUGUGAGAGGUCCUGCAGAUGCCUCUGACAUUCCUGCUGGUUGGGAUGUUUGCCUCUGCUGGGAGACCCCUCCAUCCUCUUCCUGGUCAGGAAAGGGACACAGCUGGGCCCUGGAAGACCAACUGGGUGGAGAGUAAGGGCAGGACUGGUGCGGAGAGUGGAGUUCUUCUAUGUUUGGGAGUAAAUGUGGAUGAACCUCCCUUGCCUCUUGCUGAUGGAGCUCUGUGGUGUCCCUGCUUGCCCUUGGACACCAGAUGGACUUCCCAGUGAAAGAUGAGCCCGGCUGCGUUCAGACUGAGCCAUCCUUGCCAGCCAAAGCAGAUUCUUCAUGCCUGCUUCCAAGCAGCACGAGCUUAAACAACUGGUGUCAGAGUGGGGUGUCUCUACAGUCCUGGCCACGAAGAGAGGAGAUGAAGCGUUCUCCUGCUUGGAGCACAGGAAAGAGGCUGGAGCUGGGCUGCCAUCUCCACAACUGAAAAACUACAGUGAAAUCGGAGUUCUUUGUUCGUGUUUCAUUGCCUGCUUUGAGGAAAACAGUGAUCAGGAGAUGAGACAUGAGCCUCGGGGGAAGCAAUACUGUGCAGUCAGGAAGUUGCUUGUUCCAUGAUUAGCAUCGCUGCAGCUCCCGAGGGAAGGGAUGGCACUGUCUGGGCAGACUUGGAACCUGCUGAGAGCACUUGCACCUGGUACUCCACCCAGGAUCCAGUCUGCAAGUGGAAAAGUUGCCACUGAUGACUUGGAAUUUAGGAGCCAAGAGCUGCUGUGCUGUGUGGGACUGUCGAGUGAGGGCGGUGAGGAGUGGAGUUCACCCAGCAGCUGUGGCACGAGUGCCCAGCUUGGCUUGGCAGGAAGGUGAACAGCACCUGAAGCCUCUUCUGGAGUGUCCAGCCUGACAUGGAGACUGAGCCCUGACCGUGUACUGAGCCCAUCAUUCCCACAUCCCAGCCAGGCACUGUGCAUGGAGGUGCUGCUCUGGGCAGGACACAGGAUGCACCUGAGUCACUUCAGACAUUUAUAAUCUGAUCCCUCAGAGCAGCACCGUCAGCAGCUUUUCCUCCCCCUCGUGCAGUACCCGGAGACGUGUUCCCAUCCCUGGGCACCUUGGAAGUCCCAACAAGCCACGAGUGGCCAAGACCUGCCGAAGCCUGUUGAUCCAGACACUGGAUUCCUAAAACCUUUGCUUUCCCCAACACCUUCAUAAAGUGUCCUGAAUUAAGGGAGCCUGAAGUGCUCUGAUGGACCUGUUCCACCUGGUGGGAGGCAGAGAAUCCAGUGCUGCAGCCUCGUGCACCUCACUUGGAUGGGUGAGAUGGAGCAGGGGCAGCUCCCAAGAGCCUGCGAGUCCCCACGAGGCACAAACCACUCUGAAGCACCAGCCUUUGAAGCCUGGUUGGGGCAGUGUCCAGACCAAGCUGCCCCUCUGUGUGACCAGGAGUCAGUACCUGUCCUUGCUGAGCCCUUUCACAGAGCCUCUGCAGCAAAGUGGGCACAAAGAGUGAAGGACAGUGAAGGUCAGGCUUUUCCUCUAUCAGUGUUUUCUCUGUGUAACAGCCUUGGGGGUUAUUUUGGAAAACAAAGCCUGAAGCUUUUGGGACACCUCAUUCAUGAUGAGCCCGUGCUGGUGUGACCCCCAUGGGAGAUCUGAGGGAGCUGGGGGAGAGCACUUAAACAAAACACGAGCAGGAGAAGGUGCAGUGACCAGUUUGCUCGCGUGCAUCCUGCAGGAUCCUGCCUGGCUCUCCCUCACCUCUCCUGCCCUUUGCCCUGUGCUGUGUUACCCCCUUCCUGGGAAUCGCCGCUCUCCGGCAUCGCCGCCACAUCCCACGGCACGGGUGGGAACACAGAGGCUCUGCUCCCAAACAGCGGCUCACCUGCGCCGUGUCAGGCAAGAGCAAACCUGUCACCCACCUCGGGCACCCGGGCGCGUCUCCAGUGAUUUCCAGGGCGAGGCGAGCGGGAGAACCCUCCCACCGCGCUGCCCGGGGCGCUGCCUCCCUGUCCGCGGGCUCAGCUCCAGCCCUUGUUUUGCAGCGCGCACGUGGAAUUUUAUCACCUUCAACAAUGGAAUCUGUCACCUUCAAGCUGCCUUAUUGUAAUCUGGGGAUUUGUGCCCCGGCCCUGUAACAGGGGCUGGGCUCCUGCCACAGAGCACCGCGUCCCUCCCUGUGCCAUUGCUAACGCCUGUGGGCCGACGGCGGGAACUUUAGGGACAUAUUUGGGCUUGUUUCCUCACCGGGAUCAGAUCCUUAAUUGAUCUGUCUUCUUUCCUUUCUCUCUCUUUGCCUCCUUCUGCCUCACGUGCAUCUCAAUCCCCGUCUUCUGAUCUGCUUCACCACCCCCUCCGGCUCUGAGAAUAAAUCCCAUCAGACCUGCGGUACAGCCAGGAUGCAGGAGGGGAUCUGGCAUUUUAAAGAAGCAUAAGUACGUGUUUUAAACGAUGGCACCUUCAUGUUGCAUCAAGUACCAUCUCUGAUGAAGGGCUUGUCAACAUAAGAAAUUCCAGAAAUAUGAAAUAAGAAAAAUGCCCACAAUGAGGAAUUCACAGAAAAUACACCAGAGCACCUGUACUGAGAGGGAGAAGGGGGAGGAGCCUGUGUGCACACCCUGCUUCUCCUGCUGUUACACAGAUUCUAAACACAGGUCUGAACACAAGCUCGAUGGCAACUCUCAGCUCCGUCUGCCGGGGCUGCAGCUCCAACACUCCUCACCAUCCUCCACCUUCUCCUCCAAAGUAACAAAGCCAUUGGAUUUCCUCCCACCCCUUCCCCGCGCUCCCCCUCCCCCUCGCUGGCACCGGGGUUAUUUAUACAGAAUGUGGAAACAAUUUGCAGGAAAGUGAACAAUGUAAGCGGGAGUGAGGGAAGGGAGACAAGUUUGUUGUGCACACUGAGAGCCCCAGCGGUGAAACGCUGCUUUUUGGGGGGCUGAGAGAACAGACUGUUUUCCUUUCUUCCUUCUCCUCUCUUUCACCAUCUCCCUCAGCUCUUUCCAUCUUGCCAGAGUCAGGUCCAAACCAGAGCAACCAGAUCUGAGUGCGUGUUUUGGAGGAGGUUCAGGUUGGAUCCCUCCCUGCAUCCCAGCCCUGUGAGGCGGUGUCUGUGUACUUAAUCCUCUCCGAGGUUCUGCUCUCGGAUCUUGCUGCUCCUGGAUUAGCAUUAAUGAGGAGCAUGUGUGCUCAGAGGUCCUGCUCCAGGCCCCCAGAGCUGUAGCACUGGGCUCAGACACAGCUACUCCAAGGAACAGUUCAGCUGAAACACAACCAUUCCUGGGAGUGAACGAGGCAGGAACUUUUUGCAAAGUCUAAUUUCGGUCUUUCUCCCCUCACCCACUGAGCAUUAUGUUUUCAGGACAUCCCAGCACCUUGCUGGCUCCAGUGUGAGUGUCUGGGAAUCAGGGAGUUUACCUGAGUUCUGCUGGGCUGAGGAAGCUGAACCAGCACUGACUCGGCACUCUGAGCAGAUCUGGGAUCCUCAGCUCGCACUCUGCACCAUGAAGUCCUCAAAAAGAGGUUCUUUAGAUGAGAACAGAUUUGUAUUCCUCUCUUCCUGCUGCUCACUUACCACCUGAAAUCCUCGGCUGCUCCUUGCAGUUCCCACCACAACGGCGAGCGAUAUCCCGGGCGGAGCGUUCGAGCUCCAGGGAGACUCUGCAGAUCCUGUGGAGUGCAGGAGUCACAGAGAACAGAGACUGAUGACAGAUGGCUCCAGGCUGGGAUUUUGGAGAGUGUCUACAUGGUGUUGUUUUCUUUCCCUGCUCCAUUUCUAAAGAUAACUGCUUUGCGUUUGGAGAAGCUGUUCUGUGUUUCCAACCCCUCGACAGCAUGGGCUGCUGAACGAGAACAUAGUGAAGGAGAGCAGCUGAAGAAAGAAAAGCUGUUCCUGUGGUAGACUUCAGAAAAAUUGCUGCUUGUGUUCCCUCCCCCACAACGCUGAAUCCCAGCACCCCAGACUGUCGUGACUGCCGGGGAUUGGUGACAUCUCGAGUGACACGUGUUGGAGCAUCAGAACAGAGUGGGAGCAGCACAGCUUGGCUCCAGGAGCCAAAAAUAGGCAGCGCUUCCCAGAAAGUCCUGGCAGCCUGAGAAGUGGUGGACACCGCAAUGACACCCCAGAGGAGCAGCUGAGUGCUACUGAUUGCUGGAGUCCCCAAAUGCAGGUGACCACCCCCCUGACCAGCUGGUGGGUACCAGAGCUGGAGAGGGAUGACUGUGUUCCAUAGCCCUUGGGAAGUGUCCCUUGGCCUCCUGUCAGUGAGUGCAGGGUGUUUGGGCUGUGUGUGUGUGUGUGUGUGUGUGGGAAUGGAGAGCAGCUGCCAUGUGCCAAGAACGAGGGGAGUGAAGGAUUCCCACCAUAUGAUCCAACAGUGAACUUUUGAUCCAUCAGCUCAUCUGAUCCACCUGAUCCAUCAGCUGGGCCUUUCAGGUAACACACAGAAAAGGGCUGUGCUGCUGUUGGUCCUGAGGUUUGUCUGUGUGCUGGGCUCUGCAUUUUCUAGGCAUCCUCUGCUGCUGGUCUAAGGUUGUUUCUUUGGUUUCCCAAACCCAGAGUCAAAUGACUGUUUCUUUGUGCUAAGCAUCAAUCCUCUUCCUUUUUUCUUAUCCUUUCUCCUCUCCAUCAUUUUUCUCUCCUCUUUGAAUUCUCUCAGGCUGCUGCAGUCUCACUUCCCUGAGACUUCCCUCCUGGCACAGACACCAGGAGAAAAUGUGAUGGUGUUUGCAGAGCACUGGGACUUGGGAGAUGUGAAAUGUGGACCUGCUGCUCUACCUCUGGUGACUCACAACACCUUUCUGUGGUUCUGCUUUCCUGUCAGGAUAACCUGGACUAAAACCUCUCUGGGGAAAGGAUUUGCUUUCCCUGUGUGAUCCUACGGUGUCUAAUAUAACAGGACCCAACCUCAGGAUAAAUUGCAGCUGGUUGCUGGUAAUCCUUGUGGCAUAUCAGAUAGCAGCGUAACUCGGCAAGGGUAAGGUGGAGAAACCCAAACAUCCUUCUGAGGAGGUAAUUAUUCCAUUGUGAAAAUGCUCCGGGAUAUUUUUAGUGGCCAAACCCCCUGUUUCCUGACAGAAACAUAAAAUAAUGAAGCAAGUUUCACAAGGAGAAACGCUUCAGACACCUGUACUAGCCGGUGCUUUGCAGUCACGUCAGUGUUUAAUCCGCCGUGCACAUCCCUGUGUCCCUGUGCACGGCCAAACCCACACCUGGCUUUGGGGCACUGUGGGCUGUGCCAGCGCUGCCUUGCAGAAAACCCUCUCCGCAAACAAAUCUGCAAAUCCCGCUGGAUCAGGGAUAAUUUCACGGGAAUAUAGAGCUGCCUGAAACAAGAGGGACACCCUUGCCGCAUGCACCGAGGUUAUCGAGGGAAACUUUCCUUAGCAGGAGUCAUACACCCAGUGUAAAAGCCUGGAUUUUGGGGGAACAAAUGAUUUAAAACUAGUUUUAGAACAUUUUGCAACACAUUUUUGUGGGGAUGUACCCUCGUUUCAUGUCCCACAGUGCCCCAGGGGUCCGGUUAUCUCCCGGUUACCUCGAGCACUGGUCCUACAUAAUUUAUGUCCUGAAAGAGACGAUUCAAUUAGUCAAUAAUAAAAUGAGCAAGGACAGCGUGUGCGUUGUAAAAAUAUAAUUUAGUGGGCAACAAGCUGAGAUGGAAAAAUAUAAGGGUACACUCCAUAUGAUUAAUGAAGGAGGAAUGUAUAUUUAUAGCUCUUAUUGUGUCCUUUGUAAGCAGAAGGAUCCGGCAGUAGGACUGGAACCGGCUGGAAACGAUGUGGCAUUCCAAGGAUUGGGAUUUGAAUGGCAAAUGCUGUAUAAAACUAAUUACCCCCAGGAGCACGAAAAUACAUUUAAUUUGCCUUUUCGGA